rnacentral:rRNA from 1 species
GACGAACGCUGGCGGCGUGCUUAACACAUGCAAGUCGAACGGAAAGGCCCUGCUUGCAGGGUACUCGAGUGGCGAACGGGUGAGUAACACGUGGGUGAUCUGCCCUGCACUUCGGGAUAAGCCUGGGAAACUGGGUCUAAUACCGGAUAGGAGCCAUUUUUAGUGUGAUGGUUGGAAAGUUUUUUCGGUGUAGGAUGAGCUCGCGGCCUAUCAGCUUGUUGGUGGGGUAAUGGCCUACCAAGGCGGCGACGGGUAGCCGGCCUGAGAGGGUGGACGGCCACAUUGGGACUGAGAUACGGCCUAGACUCCUACGGGAGGCAGCAGUGGGGAAUAUUGCACAAUGGGCGCAAGCCUGAUGCAGCGACGCCGCGUGGGGGAUGACGGCCUUCGGGUUGUAAACUCCUUUCGCUAGGGACGAAGCUUUUUGUGACGGUACCUAGAUAAGAAGCACCGGCUAACUACGUG